rnacentral:rRNA from 1 species
CGCCCUUAGAGUUUGAUCAUGGCUCAGAUUGAACGCUGGCGGCAGGCCUAACACAUGCAAGUCGGACGGUAAGAGAGCUUGCUCUCGACGAGUGGCGGACGGGUGAGUAAUGUCUGGGAAACUGCCCGAUGGAGGGGGAUAACUACUGGAAACGGUAGCUAAUACCGCAUAACGUCGCAGGACCAAAGUGGUUCGUCACACCAUCGGAUGUGCCCAGAUGGGAUUAGCUAGUAGGUGGGGUAACGGCUCACCUAGGCGACGAUCCCUAGCUGGUCUGAGAGGAUGACCAGCCACACUGGAACUGAGACACGGUCCAGACUCCUACGGGAGGCAGCAGUGGGGAAUAUUGCACAAUGGGCG